AGGGGUCUCACUAAAACGCUUACGGAAUUUGCAUACAAUAUAGAUAACGUUGAAAACUGCAUACGAUAUGAACAAAGAAGGAAAUUGCAGACGUGAAGAAAUCCAAUGAUAUACAUGUAGGGGCAUGUGUCCAAAGCUGAUCCACAUCAUAAUUCAUAACAUACUGAUUGGGAAUAAUGACAUAGUACCAAAAGAUGUGCUUAUACUGUAAUUAGCAGAUCUUCACAAAUGAACCUGGCAGAUCCUGGUGCAACCUUACCUUACCAUGUUUACAUCUAACCGUCAGUUUGAGCUGUGUGUGGGUGGUAACACGGACUAUAUACAUGUAUUGCCCAGUAAUUGUCUUGUGAUGGACCUUUUUAACAUAUCAAGUAUUUAAUUGAAGACUUAAGAGGUCAGUUUUCAUCAAAGAAUUUAAAAGUACAGUUUUAUUUGUAAGGGUGAAUAUGUGGUUAUAAUGGCAUUGAUGUAUAUCUUGUGUCUGUUUUUUAAUCAGCCUUUCAUCCAUAAUUAUGAAUAUUAAGCAUGAUAAAGUAUU